rnacentral:SRP_RNA from 1 species
GCCGGGCGCGGUGGCGCGCGCCUGUAGUCCCAGCUACUCGGGAGGCUGAGGCAGGAGGAUCGCUUGAGCCCAGGAGUUCUGGGCUGCAGUGCGCUAUGCCGAUCGGGUGUCCGCACUAAGUUCGGCAUCAAUAUGGUGACCUCCCGGGAGCGGGGGACCACCAGGUUGCCUAAGGAGGGGUGAACCGGCCCAGGUCGGAAACGGAGCAGGUCAAAACUCCCGUGCUGAUCAGUAGUGGGAUCGCGCCUGUGAAUAGCCACUGCACUCCAGCCUGUGCAACAUAGCGAGACCCCGUCUCU